GCAGCAGUGGGGAAUUUUGGACAAUGGGGGAAACCCUGAUCCAGCCAUUCCGCGUGAGUGAAGAAGGCCUUCGGGUUGUAAAGCUCUUUCGCAAGGGAAGAGAAGAUAUAGGUUAAUAGCCUAUGUUGUUGACGGUACCUUGACAAGAAGCACCGGCUAACUACGUGCCAGCAGCCGCGGUAAUACGUAGGGUGCAAGCGUUAAUCGGAAUUACUGGGCGUAAAGCGUGCGCAGGCGGCCUUAAAAGUCAGAUGUGAAAUCCCCGAGCUCAACUUGGGAACUGCGUUUGAAACUCUAAGGCUAGAAUAUGUCAGAGGGGGGUAGAAUUCCACGUGUAGCAGUGAAAUGCGUAGAGAUGUGGAGGAAUACCAAUGGCGAAGGCAGCCCCCUGGGAUAAUAUUGACGCUCAUGCACGAAAGCGUGGGGAGCAAACAGGAUUAGAUACCCUGGUAGUCCACGCCCUAAACGAUGUCUACUAGUUGGUGGUGGAGUAAAAUCCAUGAGUAACGCAACUUACGCGUGAAGUAGACCGCCUGGGGAGUACGGUCGCAAGAUUAAAACUCAAAGGAAUUGGCCGGGGAAUCACUAAUGAAUU
rnacentral:rRNA from 1 species